rnacentral:snoRNA from 1 species
AACAAGGCGGGACAGGGAGCCGGCAUUCAGAUGCUGGUGUCCCAUCGUGAAGCCUUGGAGAUCC